GGAAUUUUUGGUCUGUAAUUGUUCAUUUUUUCUUGUUAAGAUUUAAGAAUUAGUAGAAGGAAAAAUAGAAAGGAAUAAAAGGGAGAGAAGGAAAAUAAUUCAAAAGGCUAUAUCCUUAUUUUUGUUAUUACUUAUAUAAAAUAAAAGAUUCCAUAUUUAUGUACAAAUAUCUUAGAAUUACUCUACUUAAUUAGGAAUAAAACUUCCACCUAUUCAUGAAUCUAAAUCCUAUAUUAAAUAAGAUUAUAAAUCCUGCCUAAAUAGGAAUACAUAAAAUCUACUAAUAAGGAAUAUAACUAAACAUAAAUAUUCACUUUCCAUACACUCCUCCUUAAAAUAGAGCAUGGAAUCUCAUAAAUUCCAACACUCCCCUUUGAUGAGAGUCUUCAUAGGAGACUGCAACAGGUCUAGCAAUCCCUUAGGUUCAAACACAAAAUAACAGUAUUGUACCAAAUUCAAAAACACCUAAACAAAGGCUUGAACACCAAAAGCAAACCCUCUCCAAAGGCAAUGCCGGGAGGAAAUAUCAACACAAUGCAGCUUUCAAGGUUGCACUUCCUUCUCUAAAGACAAUGUCUGUGAGGAGAAACAACAAAAUAGUGGAUCUUUACCGAAACAGCCUAUAUGGCUGUAAUAUAGUGGCUGUCCAAACUUCAACAAACUUUUAAAGGAGUUUUGAAUGGGGUAGUAGGUAGGAGGACUCAAAAGAGACAUAGUAGUUAUUAGAUUUAUGACCCAAAAUCCUAAUUAAUUUAAAAAAUAUUUUCCUAAUUUGAGUGUGAGAAAUAUUCCUCAAUAAGAUAGAGGUAUAUUUCCUACAUAGAGUAGAACUCCUAUUUUAGUAUUAUUUUUAAAUUGAGUAGGAUUCCUAUUUAGAUUAAGACUAAGAGAGAGCGGGCUUAGUCAAUGGCUUAAGAUUUGGCUAUGUCCAUUGAUGAGGGCUCUUGCCCAUUGCAGUCUCAUGGAAAGAAAGAGAUUUCGGCCUAAAAUCGAGAAAGGACAUAAUCUAAGGGGAAGAUAUUAUUGUACAUUGUAGUUAACACCUUUUUUGGUAUAGUAGUUAAAGUAGCAAAUAUAUUGAGUUAUUAAGAGGAGAAUGAGAGGACUAGCUAAUGCAUUUACUAUAAUCAAUUUCUCUUGGGUGUAAUUGGGUUAAUGGGUAGUAUAGUUUUGAGCUUGUAAUG
rnacentral:misc_RNA from 1 species